rnacentral:rRNA from 1 species
GACCGGCGCACGGGUGCGUAACGCGUAUCCAACCCUUCCCGUUUACUCAGGGAUAGCCUUCCGGAAAGGGAGAUUAAUACCUGAUGGUGUUCAAAUUCCGCAUGUUAUUUGAACUAAAGAUUUAUCGGUGACGGAUGAGGAUGCGUACGAUUAGCUGGUUGGCGGGGUAACGGCCCACCAAGGCUACGAUCGUUAGGGGUUCUGAGAGGAAGGUCCCCCACACUGGAACUGAGACACGGUCCAGACUCCUACGGGAGGCAGCAGUGAGGAAUAUUGGUCAAUGGGCGAGAGCCUGAACCAGCCAAGUCGCGUGAGGGAUGACGGUCCUACGGAUUGUAAACCUCUUUUGUCGGGGAGCAAGAGCUCUACGUGUAGAGUAGUGAGAGUACCCGAAGAAAAAGCAUCGGCUAACUCCGUG